UUGCCAUUCGGUCGUCACUAUGCGGUCCCUGUGCUUUUUACUCCUGGCCGUUGCGCUCGCCUGCAUUUUCACCGGGACUGAGGCAACUCAAUUCCGAGGAAUUGUUCCUGACAAUUACGAUGGACAUUUACGGGUUUUCCGAGAGCGUCACAGAGAUUUUGUUGCCACAUUUGGACGACGGUUGAACGGGCGUUCGGUGUCUGAAAAGUGUCCGUUCUUUGAGCGUCGUAGUCGAAGGGAAGAAACCUCAAGAGCCAACAACCGGACCAAAAACUGCAUGUCCAAAGGAAAAUACACUCGCGCACAGCAAACGAAAAUGGCAAUUAUGCGAUUGAUGCAUAUAUGAUUGUGCUAUUGGUUCGAAAUAAAUUGGUUUAAUGAA